rnacentral:lncRNA from 1 species
UAGUCAUGGCUAAAUAUUAAAAGAAAAUAAUUAAUUAACAAUAAUGUAUUCAAAGUAACAUCGACGCUCAUUCCAAUACUUUAAUUCCCAGUACAGUACAAACAAUUUGAAUCAAACACAUAGUUACUUCAACAUUCAAUCACAUAAAUUUUCCCUUGAAAGUUCCCAAAACAAUCAUCGUCGGUCAUAGUUUUAGCUUUAGUGUUCAUGUUUUCCUCAAGUCCAGGAUUCCUCUGAAUUAUUUGCCCUCACAUUCCUCUAAACUCUUCUUCCAAGAACUAAAAUUGAAAAAGAAAAGAACCAUUACUAAACUGAUUUACGAAAACUAUUAAGUAGCAAAAAGAACAAUGCGAUUGUACAUCAUAUAAUUUCUUGAAGAAAUACAGGAGUCAUGCGACUACUACUAUCUGCAAGAAAACAUAAAGCCAUAUUCAAUAGUAGAAGCUUAAGAGAACUAAAUCAAUUUGGCAUCAUUAGCUUAUGGAAAAGAUCAUUCCACUAAUAGAGAUGGAGUUACAUACAACUGUAGGAAGUAUUUCACAAAUGAUGUACCGUUCUCAUCCAGCCGUUAGGUGAACAUCUUUUGUAAUCUUUUCCUAAAUGCCAUAUUUCAUUGUCCCGAGAAUGGUGGAUAAUACUUUCUAUAAGCAAAAUCAAAGAGAAAUAACAUAAAAAAUAUUAUUCUCCAGUCUUAAGGUAUCAUAUGUAGAAAGAAACGAUAUCAAGAUCACCUUGACAAAAUAGAAUUUUUAAUCAACUUGAGGCAAAUAAUAAUAAUUUUGCAGAAAGCUCAAGAUAUUUGAACCCGAAACUCCUAACAGUGCAGAAAAGGAACUAGCAAUCACUAGUAUCAUUGUACAGGCUUACUAAUUCCUUCUCUACUCCUGAAUUCAACAGAAUGAUUGAUCAAUUUCAGUCCUAACAUCAAUGCCAAUGUUCCUUAUCCAACAUAAAUUGUUAAUAAAGCUGAUAUUCACAAGAUACCCUACACCAUCCACAAUCUAAAUCAUCAAACACAUAAUCGUAAUGGUCAUUUACCUUCCCUUCAUAAACAAGUAUCUACAAGCUUCUUUUCCAUUCAACCAUCACAAACAAGAUUCUUUUCCAAUCUAAUUUACCGUGCUGUUUGGAUUAGAGUCGCCAUCAAGCACAACCACAAUAAUUCUAACACAAGACAAGUUACUAUAUAAUAUCCUUCUGUUGGAACCAACAUCACAUGAUUCAGCAGCGAAUAAGGUUCAACACAUUAAAAAAGUCUUAACAUGUCAAAAAUACCAAGAUCAAGAUUAAACUAGUAAUCUAUAUCUUAUCAGACAUUUCAUAUCAAUUUAAUAUUCAGUUGUUUUCUCUUUUAUAGGAAAACAAUACAGAGUGCCAUUUCAUUGGCUCAAUAUAGAAUAGUUUGUCAGUAACAAAUACUAAUCAAACAAACUAUCUAGUUGAAGCAAAAACAGUCCUAUAAUUUAAUUCAUUACCUUUUACGUCGUUUGAUAAAUGUCGUAUGUACUAGUAAAUGGAUUCAAGGUUUUAUAGCAGUAAGAACGAUGAACAACCAAAUAAUGUUAAUAAUCUCAUCACUACCAUUACAAAAUCAGUUCAACAUGAAAAGAUGAAUCAAAGGAAGUGCAAACUUUAAUCUCAUGUUAAUAAAACAAAGCCAGCCCAUUAAAUUUUAUUUAAUCCUCUAAGGCAUUUGCUCAAACAGCUGAUAUGAACAGAAUACGACGGAAAUAAAAGAAAAGGUAGCAAAAAUUUUAAAGGCAGUUAACCAGAAAUUCAAUCCAGUGAACAACAGAUUAGAACAGAAAAAUACUUACCAAAAUCUUAAUAUCUUCAACCAGAUGUUUGAGAAUUACAGAGAAUAGAUUAAAUAUGGCAGUCGAUUGUGUGUAAAAGGAGGCCUAAAUUUUGGUGACCUUCUAUCAUGUUUAUCUUUCUAAGACAAUCUAACACCCAUGUAGUUUCCCCUUUCAAUUCUCCACACCACAUGGCGACCUCGACGGUUUAGUGAACAUAAAAUGGGGGACGCCUAAUUGGGGUUGAGGAAAGGGGAGAGAUUGGUAGGGUUCUUAGAGAAGACAGUCUUCGUAAUAGUGUUUAGUUCUGGAUUAAACAUUAUAAAGUUAGAAAAUUU